UGGGGAAUCUUGCGCAAUGGGCGAAAGCCUGACGCAGCGACGCCGCGUGCGGGAAGAAGGCCUUCGGGUUGUAAACCGCUUUCAGGAGGGACGAAGCCACUCGGGUUAAUAGCCUAGAGGGUGACGGUACCUCCAGAAGAAGCCCCGGCUAACUACGUGCCAGCAGCCGCGGUAAUACGUAGGGGGCUAGCGUUGUCCGGAUUUAUUGGGCGUAAAGAGCGUGUAGGCGGCCAGGUAGGUCCGGUGUGAAAACUCGAGGCUUAACCUCGAGAUGUCAUCGGAAACCAUCUGGCUAGAGUCCGGAAGAGGAAAGUGGAAUUCCUGGUGUAGCGGUGAAAUGCGCAGAUAUCAGGAAGAACACCAAUGGCGAAAGCAGCUUUCUGGGACGGUACUGACGCUGAGACGCGAAAGCGUGGGGAGCGAACAGGAUUAGAUACCCUGGUAGUCCACGCCGUAAACGAUGGGCGCUAGGUGUGGGCGGUGUCGACUCCGUCCGUGCCGAAGCUAACGCU
rnacentral:rRNA from 1 species